GACGAACGCUGGCGGGGUGCCUAAUACAUGCAAGUCGAAAGCAGUGGGGACGGGUGAGUAACACGUGGGUAACCUCCCAUCAGAGGGGAUAACACUUGGAAACAGGUGCUAAACCGAUACUGAGGGAUGGACCCGCGGUGCAUUAGCUAGUUGGUGAGGUAAAGGCUCACCAAGGCCACGAUGCAUAGCCGGCCGCCUAGGGUUACCUCCCAAACGUCGACUGAGACACGGCGCAUGCUCCUACGGGAGUGAGCAGGACGGAAGCGUCGGCAACGGACGAAAGUCUGACCAAGCAACGCCGCGUGGGUGAAGAGGUUAUUCGGUUCGUAAAACUCUGUUGUUUUUGAAGCGGUCUCUUUCCAUAAAGCCACGGCUAACUGCGUUCCAGCCGCCGCGGUAAUAC
rnacentral:rRNA from 1 species